rnacentral:rRNA from 1 species
CCGGCCGCUCGACCUGCAGGGCUGGCGUCGUUGGGCGGGGCGCGUUACCAGAAGGUCUUCGGCAUACUUGACGGCAUAAUCGACCGCCGCCUGGCAGAUGGCCGGACGUCCACGGGCGAGCACGCUCGCGGCGACUUCCUGGACUCGCUGCUGGAGCUCGUUUCCGCCGGCAAGAUCGGUCGCGACAAGGUGACGGUGAUACUGUUCGACGUGUUCGCGGCCGGGACCGACACGAUGGCCAUCACGGUGGAGUGGGCGAUUGCCGAGCUGCUCCGGCACCCGCAUGCCAUGGCCAAGGUGCGCGCGGAGAUGGCGGACAUCCUCGGCGGCAAGGACACGGACGCCCUCGAGGAGCCUGACGCGGCGAGCCUGCCGUACCUGCAGGCCGUGGUGAAGGAGGUGAUGCGGCUGCACCCGGUGGCGCCGAUCAUGCUGCCGCACCAGGCCGCGGAGGACGGCGUGGAGAUCGGCGGCUGCGCCGUGCCCAGGGGCGCCACGGUGAUCUUCAACGCGUGGGCGAUCAUGCGGGACCCGGCGGCGUGGGAGAGGCCCGACGAGUUCGUGCCGGAGAGGUUCGUCCUGGAUAAGGCGGCGGAUAGGGCGGUGGAGUUCCGGGGCAAGGACUACGAGUUCAUCCCGCUCGGGUCCGGCCGGCGGCUGUGCCCCGGCCUGCCGAUGGCGGAGCGGGUCGUGCUGUUCGUGCUGGCGUCGCUGCUGCACGCGUUCGAGUGGCGGCUCCUGCACGGCGUGUUGGCCGACGAGCUGGACGUCGCCGAGAAGUUCACCACCGUGAACACGCUCGCGGUGCCCCUCAGGGCCGUCCCCGUCGUGGUCACGUAG